GAUGAACGCUGGCGGCGUGCUUAACACAUGCAAGUCGAACGAAGCACUUUAUUUGAUUUCCUUCGGGACUGAUUAUUUUGUGACUGAGUGGCGGACGGGUGAGUAACGCGUGGGUAACCUGCCUUGUACAGGGGGAUAACAGUUGGAAACGGCUGCUAAUACCGCAUAAGCGCACAGCAUCGCAUGAUGCAGUGUGAAAAACUCCGGUGGUAUAAGAUGGACCCGCGUUGGAUUAGCUAGUUGGUGAGGUAACGGCCCACCAAGGCGACGAUCCAUAGCCGACCUGAGAGGGUGACCGGCCACAUUGGGACUGAGACACGGCCCAAACUCCUACGGGAGGCAGCAGUGGGGAAUAUUGCACAAUGGGCGAAAGCCUGAUGCAGCGACGCCGCGAGAGCGAAGAAGUAUUUCGGUAUGUAAAGCUCUAUCAGCAGGGAAGAUAAUGACGGUACCUGACGAAGAAGCACCGGCUAAAUACGUG
rnacentral:rRNA from 1 species